UCCACUGUGCGGCUCCUUGCAACCCCCCUGGGGUCUGUUUUGGUUUCCCUCUCUCCCCCCUGGGGUUGUGGGUGGUGCUCCCUUCGGAUUUUUUAACGGCUCUGCACAUCUCUGGUCAUUACAAAACUCACUUCAUUCGUUAACGAAUCAACCAUCCCCCUGAAGAGACCACUUAGAGGUCGAAACGCAUCGGGGAACGCACAUCACACAGCAUAAAGCAAUGUUGUAUACAUUUGUCCAAUAUUGUGGAAUAUGUAUUGUAUCACCAGAUCCGGAAAGGGUUUUCUUUUAAUUGUUAUUGCAUUUAAAAUGUAUGUUAUUGACAACCAUAAAAUAAACCAUGUUUUAUUAUAUUA